UGCUCCUGAUGGACGGACCCCGUGGUACGGAGCCGUGUGGGAGCAGUUCUUGAGGAGCUGCUGCCUAUGGGCGGCCUCCGCAGGCUCAGUUGGGGGAGGCCGGCAUCUUGUGAGGGGGAGACCGCGUGGAGCAGGAGCUGAGAGGGACCGUCAGGGAGAUGAAGUAUUUUGGACUGACCACAGCUCCAGAUUCUCCUUACACUGAGCCAGUUUUGCUCAUGACUGUAACUGGAAUCCCAGGGCUGUACCUACCCCAAAACCUCAUCCACGCGUUGAAGGCAGCAAGAAGGAUUGCCACACCAACAUUGAUGCUCUCUGCGGGGCGGACAGCCACAGCAUCGUACAGUGACCUGAGAGCCUGCUGGAAGCCAGUGGGAGAGGGAGCAGUGCGUGUGAUCUGGAGGGGUGCUGCAAGAGUGACUGGCGUGACGGAGAGCAUCCCUGUCAUGCUGAGCUCUCUGGAUGUUUGGGUAAUCCUAAAAGACUGCUUGGAGAAGCAGAAAGACGCAGGGAGAUGAAGAAACCAGGAGGCUGGCACAGCUGGCUGUGGGAAUGAUCAGAGGCACUAGUGCCAUAUUGCACCUCUGCACAUGACCAUGUUGGUCCUUUACAGCUCUUUGCUGGAAGGCAGCUGGCAUCCAGGUAGCUCCACUGGAGGUGUCUGCAGUGAGUCAAGCAGCAAACGGGCCACAAAACGGUGAGUUUCUGAGCGGGAAACUUAAUUUCUGAUUUGGGAACUAAUCCAAGCCGAAGAACAAGUGUCAUCUUUCCUUGUGUUUAGGCAUGGGUAAUGCUGUGUCUGAACCUUGGCUAGUUUUCUAGAUGCCUUUGUCACUGCAGACCCAAUUCCCGUUGCCUGUCCUCCCCAUUACAGGGCACAAGGGGGCAGCCCCAUUUCCAGAUCGAUUUGGUUUUUCUCGUCCCUGUGUGCUGCAAAAAGCUCUGAAGUGAGCACAUUUGGAAGAUGCCGUUUGGUUUUGUUUUUACCGGUGUCUUUCUAAUGGAAAGAGCUCUUUGGAGUCAGUGACAAGCCAGAGGCCGUGGAGAAGGAUUGCUGGCACCUCCUCAGGGCAGUGCAGUCUGUCUGUCCUGCCUGCCCCCAGCCGGAUGGGCUCAGCCUGGAUCCCGUUGGUGUGAGGGGAUGGGGGUUACCAAUGAAACAAAGAUUAAGUGACUGUUUGCUCUUGCUGUGCUCCUGCCUGUCUCUCCGUCCCUGCUGGUAACUGCUGUGCUGUUUGGCCCUAAGAUGUGAUGUCGUUAAUUCUGAGAAACAGCACCUGAAUGGGAGAACAGGAUCCUAGAAGAUUGCUCAUUUGUGGAGCUCCCAUUUUAUUGGGCAGCAGGACAUGGUUUGCUGUGAUGGUGUAGGAAAUGUGCCUAAGUAACGCAUCUCCUGUUGGGAUGGUGGGGGAAACCAAGUCCUGGCUGUGCACGCAGAAGCGGUUGCCUACAUGUUGCAUCAACCUCCUUGUUCUUAAAGUGAGUAAUGCAAUGCUGUCAAAAAGCAUAAGGAUGGCUUCUCUACGAGACAGCCCUGCUCUCCAGGGGUAGGGUAUCCAUGGUCUAUCCAGGGAGUAGAUGCUGUUGGAGUAAAAGGAGCAGCUGCUGCUGCUGACUACAUUCAUGGAGUACUCUGCCUUGCUCAUAUGGAGCAGAGCAUCCCUCGUAGGGCUGAACCGCAGCCUGCUCUGUGCUGCCUGGGUGACAGGAGGAGUGCUGGCUGUGAAGAGGAUCCGCCUUCAAAAAUGUUUAUGGUGAGCCUGCUCCUUUACGCUGAAAACAUUUUUGUUUCAUAUUCUGGGUUUUAUUUUUAGCUGCUCUGCUGUGAAAUGUCUCACUUAAAUAGACCCCCUUCUCUGUUUUUGGUGUGCUUCUGGCAUAAAGUCAAUAAACUUAUUAAAGAGGAAUCUCUGGAGAAUUUCACAGAACUUUCUGAGAUUGACAACAGGUGGAACAAAUGCAUUGCAGGUUAUAUUUAAACGGCACUGAUUUGAGGCAAGUGUUCAUGUAGGAAAUGAACUCAUGGCUAUUCCCAGCUGAGCACUUAUGCCCACAGACAGGGGGUGCUGGAAGGGGCAAAGAGCCUCCUGCUCUGUGCUCCUGCACCAUGGUGUGGCCAGCUGGGUUCCUGUUGUUCCCGGGGGUUGCUGAAAGACUUUGUUCAGUGCAGUGCUGGAAUAUGGUGUGAUAGGAGCUGAAGUAAACCUCCUGAUGACCCCAGUCCAGUGGGAAUACCUACAGGAGAAAGACAAACACUUGAACUUGCAGCUUAUUCUUCAAAGUAGAGCUAUAAAACCUUCUAAAGGCGUCUGGAGAGGGGACUACGGCGACUUCCCUGAUAUUGCUGCACUGGCAUGUGAAGCAAAGCUGUCUGUUAUCACUCAUGCUUCAAGUGCUGAGAGAAACUUUAGAGACUGCAAUCAUCUUCUAUUCAGGAGCAGAGGUAGUUCUUGCUGUGGGAAAUCUCCCUGGGAAAUCAGUCUCUGAGAUCUCCCAGCUUCUCUGCCAGAGGUGUUCUGCCAAUUUGAGGGAAAAGAAUCGUUCUUAUAAAUAAAUCCUGCGGCAAGCUUCUGAGCAGCCAGCACUGAGAGAUCCUGGCUAGCCACAAGGCCUCGGGAUUGUUGUGCUUCUUUUAAGAAGUUUUCCUCACUUUCAGGACACUUUCUGCUCCUGGUCUGCUUCCUACCUCACAUGCCUCAGAAUCUGCAAGAUUUCUCCCAUGUUUUCAGAGAGUUGUGUUGCCAAUCUCCAGUCAUGACUUCAUGAAUUACCCACUCCUCCAGUACAAGUUAAAUCUCUUGAUGCUGAUGUUUCACCAACCUGCUGCAGUCCAGACUGGUCUCUCUGUUCCUAUCAAGUCCUUGCCUAUUUCUCCGGUAUCUCCUCAUGGGCAUCCAGCUCUUGGCUCAAACUCACUGAAUGUGACACCAGCUCUUUGUCCACUGCUCCAAGCCAUCUCUGUCACCUCCCUUCUUAGUCCCCGAGCUGCGCUACAGCGGCCUGAGCAAAUACACUCUGGGGAGGUGAGGUUUUCUGCCACAGAAGGCAAAAGCCCUUUCAGUAACACAGGAGGUGUCACACAGUGUGUUUUUAUGGCUAUUUUUACAGUUCUUAUUAUACCUUAGAUCUAAAACAGAUCCUUACAAUUGCUCGUAAUUGCUGGUCUUUUGGCACUUCAUAAAUCCUCUUCCACAAAAUAUGCAGCUAGGGAAGAAUAACCUGCCCACCGAGUGACACUCUUACAGGAGGGAAAAUAAUGAGAAAUGUGGAGUGUGGGAGCAACAGGCUUUCUGGACAAUUGUAAACAGCAAUCGUGCUUAAAAGCAUCAUCAUCUGAUGGCAGAGCAGAAAGAGAAACGCUGUGUUUAAUGAAUUGAAUUGUUCAUUGAAAAUAAUGGACCAUUUCUGACUUGCAGGUACUUAGUGACUUGUUGUGAUGUUGUAGCGCUUCAACAGCGCAGGGAGCGAGCAGCUCCUGCACCUGCUUUCUCUGAAGCGUACUGCUUUUGUGCCUGCUAUGCCUAAUUCUGUUUGUGCCACGGAGUUGUCUUAGUUAAUUCUGUUGUAAAAUAGCUGCUGUGCAUAUGCCAACAA